GCGGGAAUAGCUCAGUUGGUAGAGCACGACCUUGCCAAGGUCGGGGUCGCGAGUUCGAGUCUCGUUACCUUGCCA
rnacentral:tRNA from 1 species